UCCCUUGUGGCUCAGCUGGUAAGGAAUCCGCCUGCAAUGCGGGAGACCUGGGUUCGAUCCCUGGCUUGGGAA
rnacentral:tRNA from 1 species